rnacentral:rRNA from 1 species
GAUGAACGCUGGCGGCGUGCCUAAUACAUGCAAGUCGAGCGAACGGACGAGAAGCUUGCUUCUCUGAUGUUAGCGGCGGACGGGUGAGUAACACGUGGAUAACCUACCUAUAAGACUGGGAUAACUUCGGGAAACCGGAGCUAAUACCGGAUAAUAUUUUGAACCGCAUGGUUCAAAAGUGAAAGACGGUCUUGCUGUCACUUAUAGAUGGAUCCGCGCUGCAUUAGCUAGUUGGUAAGGUAACGGCUUACCAAGGCAACAAUGCAUAGCCGACCUGAGAGGGUGAUCGGCCACACUGGAACUGAGACACGGUCCAGACUCCUACGGGAGGCAGCAGUAGGGAAUCUUCCGCAAAGGGCGAAAGCCUGACGGAGCAACGCCGCGUGAGUGAUGAAGGUCUUCGGAUCGUAAAACUCUGUUAUUAGGGAAGAACAUAUGUGUAAGUAACUGUGCACAUCUUGACGGUACCUAAUCAGAAAGCCACGGCUAACUACGUG